rnacentral:rRNA from 1 species
AAAUUGAAGAGUUUGAUCAUGGCUCAGAUUGAACGCUGGCGGCAGGCCUAACACAUGCAAGUCGAACGGUAACAGGAAGCAGCUUGCUGCUUCGCUGACGAGUGGCGGACGGGUGAGUAAUGUCUGGGAAACUGCCUGAUGGAGGGGGAUAACUACUGGAAACGGUGGCUAAUACCGCAUAACGUCGCAAGACCAAAGAGGGGGACCUUCGGGCCUCUUGCCAUCAGAUGUGCCCAGAUGGGAUUAGCUUGUUGGUGAGGUAACGGCUCACCAAGGCGACGAUCCCUAGCUGGUCUGAGAGGAUGACCAGCCACACUGGAACUGAGACACGGUCCAGACUCCUACGGGAGGCAGCAGUGGGGAAUAUUGCACAAUGGGCGCAAGCCUGAUGCAGCCAUGCCGCGUGUAUGAAGAAGGCCUUCGGGUUGUAAAGUACUUUCAGCGGGGAGGAAGGUGUUGCGGUUAAUAACCGCAGCAAUUGACGUUACCCGCAGAA